GACGAACGCUGGCGGCGUGCUUAACACAUGCAAGUCGAACGGAAAGGCCCUGCUUGCAGGGUACGCGAGUGGCGAACGGGGGAGUAACACGUGGGUGAUCUGCCCUGCACUUCGGGAUAAGCCUGGGAAACUGGGGCUAAUACAGGAGAGGAGAGAUCCUGAGUGUGAUGGUGGGAAAGUAUUUUCGGUGUAGGAUGAGCUCGCGGCCUAUCAGCUUGUUGGUGGGGUAAUGGCCUACCAAGGCGGCGACGGGUAGGCGGCCUGCGGGGGUGGACGGCCACAUUGGGACUGAGAUUCGGCCCAGGCUCCUACGGGAGGCAGCAGUGGGGAAUAUUGCACAAUGGGCGCGAGCCUGAUGCAGCGACGCCGCGUGGGGGAUGACGGCCUUCGGGUUGUAAACUCCUUUCGCUAGGGACGAAGCUUUUUGUGACGGUACCUAGAGAAGAAGCACCGGCUAACUACGUG
rnacentral:rRNA from 1 species